rnacentral:lncRNA from 1 species
AACAAAUUGCACAUCAAACAGUUUUUUUAAAGUAUACAACAAAAGCCCAGAGAAGAAUGUGACUAAGAAUGGUUGUAAAUAGAAAAACAAAACCAACCGCCUUCAUUGGAAUCUAGCUUCUAACCCACUGGAGUAUGGAAUUUUUAAUGACAGGUCAAACUUGGACCACAUCCCAGGAGUUUAUGUUACUAAGAGGACUGGAAGAAUGUCCCUCCAGUUCAAUCUGGCUUCUUACCUGGUAAGACAUGGCUCCUGGGUAUAAAGGGAAUUUCCCCCAUGGGGCUGUAAAUAAAGGAUAGUGUUAAUGGUAAACAUUAUACAUUCCUCUAGCUCCUUUCAAUUAUAUUAUCUCCUUCUCCAAAGUAGAUAUUUAUGUUGUAAAACCAAAGUCUUAAGAUUUAAUACUGGCCCACAAUUAUCUCUAGAGUCUUCUAGGUGCAAGCAUUUUGCCAUGAAAGCCACAGCAAAUGCCUUCAGUAGGGAAAAUGAGACAUCUACAUAAAUAACUCCCAGAAGGUAGAGAGCAGAAAGGGCCCUGGAGAAAAAAUGCUGCAGAAAUCAGAGCAGGGGGAGGUUGGCUGUUUCAGGAAAAGCCUCACACCACCAGCAAAACACAGUUUGAAGGAUGGUUAGACUUUAGAGUGGUGGAUGUGGGGGAAGAUGUGCCAUCAGAUGGUCUAGAUGACAACACCAUCAGACAUUCUUCAGAAAAGUAUUUAUGAAGACAUCGAUGCAUACAAUAACCUAGAGAUAGUCCACCUCUCUCCUCAAUGACAACUGGGCACCUGUACAAGCACCUAUGGGGUCACCUGCUUCCACCUCCCAAGUCAGGCUCUCAAAAAUUCUCCCUAGUGGGGUCAAGCAUUCUUGGCCUCAGUAGUGCCCAUUCUGUGGCAGCGGCCCUGCCCUACCUCUACGGGGGGUAUAAGAAACAUGAAAACAUACCAAUCCUGCAGAGAUCUAAAAGACCUACGGGCAAAUUUUGCAUAAUGCAACUGAAAUUAUGACCUUCGUGCAAAUAAAACUUUUCGAAGACGUGAAUCCUACUUAACAGGUAUUCAGGGAACUCACUAUUUAAAAUGACACUGAUUAAUCACUAAAUGAGUCUUACACUGAAUAAUUGGUUAAGUCGGCUGAACUCAGUGUCUGAUGGCUUAAAUACAGAGCGAGGGGCGAAAGCUUCCACAAAUUUACGCUGUGCACCUAACAUUCGCCACGACAGAAGACUUCUUGCUCUAGUGUAUUUAUUACUGUAGCAUUAAAGGACUUGAAGGCAAAGCUAGCUAUUCUAGUUAUCAGUUAGAGCGGGACCUGGUCCAAUAUUGUAUUUUCUAGGACUUGAUGUACACAAAUCUCUCCAGGAACAAUCUCUUGAGCACUUUCCUUGAAAUACCGCUGCUAAGUACCGCCACAAAAAGAGCUUACGUUUUUCUUUGCACUGGCCACCUCCACACCGUAUUCACAACACGAAGGGGCGACCUGAGGCAGGCGUCUGGAGUGAAGGCACUGGCAGGGUGUCCUUUAGCCCCUGCGAGGGCGGCCUGCAUGCCCUGGAGGACCGCCCGCCUCGGGUCCCCCGGGAGCGCGAGGACACUUUUCCGCCAGGUACGCGGAGUCGGGCUGCUCCCUUAGGCGGGUCGACUGCCUUGGGAGAGAACCAGCCCAUCCUUCCCUUUCUCCAGUCCUCAGGAACCGAGCUACAGAGUCGCUUCCUCACCUCUUGGCUCCUGGCGAGUCUCGCCGGCGUCCCCAAGCGCAGCGUCCCUCUGGGACCAGCCGUCCGCGCGCCUGUCGCUAGCGGCGUCGGGUGUCCCCGCUACUGUGUGUCAGCUGCAGAGCCGAUGCCCAGGAACGCGCAGGAGCCAGAACUCUCACCCAAGAACCCAG